CAAUAUUCUUGGGAUGUCUGGUGUGAAUUGCUUUCUUGAGGUCAUGCCACAACAUCUCAAUCGGGUUGAGGUCAGGACUCUGACUGGGCCACUUCAGAAGGCGUAUUUUCUUCUGUUUAAGCCAUUCUGUUGUUGAUUUACUUCUAUGCUUUGGGUCAUUGUCCUGUUGCAACACCCAUCUUCUGUUGAGCUUCAGCAGGUAGACAGAUGGCCUUAAGUUCUCCUGCAAAAUGUCUUGAUAAACUUGGGAAUUCAUUUUUCCUUUGAUGAUAGCAAUCCGUCCAGGCCCUGACGCAGCAAAGCAGCCCCAAACCAUGAUGCCCCCACCACCAUACUUCACAGUAGGGAUGAGGUUUUGAUGUUGGUGUGCUGUGCCUUUUUUUCGCAACACAUAGUGUUGUGUGUUUCUUCC